rnacentral:tRNA from 1 species
CGGGGUGUAGCACAGUGGUAGUGCGCUGGCAUGGGGGGCCAGAGGUCCCGGGUUCGAUUCCCGGCGCCCCGA